rnacentral:rRNA from 1 species
GACGAACGCUGGCGGCGUGCUUAACACAUGCAAGUCGAACGGAAAGGCCCUGCUUUUGUGGGGUGCUCGAUUGGCGAACGGGUGAGUAACACGUGAGUAACCUGCCCUUGACUUUGGGAUAACUUCAGGAAACUGGGGCUAAUACCGGAUAGGAUCUCCUGCUGCAUGGUGGGGGUUGGAAAGUUUCGGCGGUUGGGGAUGGACUCGCGGCUUAUCAGCUUGUUGGUGGGGUAGUGGCUUACCAAGGCUUUGACGGGUAGCCGGCAUGAGAGGGUGACCGGCCACAUUGGGACUGCGAUACGGACCAGACUGCUACGGGAGGCAGUAGUGGGGAAUAUUGCACAAUGGGAGGAAGCCUGAUGCAGAAACGCCGCGUGCGGGAUGACGGCCUUCGGGUUGUAAACAGCUUUCGCCUGUGACGAAGCGUGAGUGACGGUAAUGGGUAAAGAAGCACCGGCUAACUACGUG